GGAGGAGAGUGACACGUAAACAAGUAAUUACAAUACCCCUAUUUAUUAGGCGGGUGUGCGCCCAGGACUCCAUCCAGAACAGUGCUUCCAGCGUGGUUCAAGGAGCCAGUCCUGCCCUGGCAGUGGCUGCCUGCUUCUCGGGCCUCACCCUGCUGGCCUCGGCAGCCAGAGUUGGCAGGCCAGAAGAGGAAUGUCCUACGUGAACGUGAUUUAACAGCUCCAUCGCCUGGGGCCACGUGGAAUUCUUGAAGCAGCUGUGUCAGACAUCCGAGUCAAGUUGGGGCAUGAGUGACCUCUCAACAUCUAAUGGAGCAUUUACUCCUUAGGCAGUUGAUGACAAUAGUUCUCCAAACCUGCUGAUCCCAAGGUGGCAGGUUUCCCGGUCAGCUGUGGCUCUGAAGUAGGAGGGGUUUGCAGGAGUAUCACACACAGCUGUAGAAGGAACAGAAUCAGAGCUGGAGAGGGAGAAUUGCUCCAUGGCCAUGAGUGGGUGUCCUCUCAAGCGGAGCCCCGAGUCCAGUAGAACUUGAGGCUUUUCGCCAACCCACGAAGUGCAGAUGGUAACGCUUGCUGUUGUGUCCCUGAGACUAUAUAGGGCCUAGUGUCUGGUUUAUGCCCUUGCACUGGGUCACUCUCACCCUGGAAUCACCCGGCUGGGGACUGAACCUCUCCUGCCACCACUCCAACUCCUCCUGAGACACUCACCUCCUAAGACACUCACCUCCUGGAAAGGCCACAUCUGUUUGCCAAGGACAGAGGCACCUUCUUUGGUCCAGAGAGCUGCAGGCUGUGGUUUAUUUCGCUGGCGACCUCUUCAUCACCAGGACUGUUCCAUAGAGUGCUGUGGUACCCGUGAAAGCCAAACUUCUAAGCUUCUCAAGUUCAAAUGAUAACUUCUCUCUGUUACCUUUUGUCAAGAAAACUUUGGAUUAUGAAUCUCCGUUAUGGGGGCUCAUAAAAUGAAUUGGGGUGCAUUCAUAGAGUUGGAACACUCUGGAGCCACUGAAAAGAAUGCGGCAAAGCUGUAAAAAGGAAAGAUGUCUGUGAUAUCAUCUAUAUUCUUUUAUGUUGUUAAGUGACAAAAUCCAGCUGUAGAGGAGCAUGAAUUGUUUUAUUCCAUGUUUAUUACAUAAUGAGUGUAGUGUCGGGAAAGCCAUAUACCAAAUUGUUCACAAUGGUUAUCUUGGGGGAGUGGAGCUUGGGAACUUGUACUCUUUGCUUGAUGCAUCUCUGCUUUGUCUCUCUCUUGAAUCAGCAUGAAUAAUUUUUUAAAAUUAGAAAACCUUCUUAUUAAUAUGGAGGUAAAUAUUGGGGCAGUCCAAGAUGGCAGCGGUCUCACGGUGAGGCCCUUGUUUUAUGGGAAGAACAUGAAGGUAGGAGUUUAAGAAACCCGAUUUUUCUCUUAACCAGGGGUUUUUCCUAAUUUUUUGUGCCAUGAUCCCUCAGGACAGUGUGAUGAAGUUUUUGGCUCCCUUCUCAGAACAAUGCCUUAGGGGCAUAACGUGAAAUACGUAGAAUUACAAAAGAAGCCAAAUAUAUUGAAAUAUAGUUAUCAAAAUACUUUUUAAAAAUUUUAUGAUAUAGUAAUAUAUGUGUAUUAAAAUAUAAGAUCUGGCUGCAGGUCUAAUAACGAUUUAAUUUAAAACUAGCCAUGAGCAUAAGUGAUAUUUUGAGAAAUCUGCAACAGCUGAAUAUUGCAUGAAAAUGUCUGUGACUUCUGGUGACAAAGUCAGAUGUGCUAGUGCUACUGUGGUUUGUCACCUUCUUCAUAAAUGAAGAAAAUGCUAGAUUGUAGUUAGAGGUAGUGAAAAUAAAGACGUAAUUUCCCAUCCAAUAUCAUAGAUCCCUGUUUAAAUUUCCCAGCCUAACAUCUAAUGUUCUUAACUGGCUGGGAAGUGUUGAAUAAUAUUGUUCCCGCCCUCACAGUCUCAACUGUUUCAUCAGUAAAAUGAGGGGCUAAGUGAUGGCAAAUGUGUAUGAUCUUACAUGUCAACUGUGAUUGAUUGGUAGUGACUUGGUGAGGCAUUUUGAGAUCACCUCUGAGUUCAAUUGGAAAGGAUGCCAAUUGGAAAGGAUGAAUGAUUGGUGAUGUCUGCCAUGGGUACUAGAUGGGGGAGAGAGCAAAGCGUGCAUGGCGUACAUGUCCAUUCCUUGACUAGAUGAGCCUGUGGCCCCUUCCACCUCUGAUAUUCUACUAUGUAUGAAAGUAAUUAUUCUCUUCUGAUUCUAAUUUAACAUAUCUCCUGUCCAACAACAAGAGCAACAACACAAGCAUUGGUUAGCCCUUCCUGGGGGCUUUGUGUGUGUGUGGCAUUGGCACUACCAACUCUACCCCUGUGGACCAAGUCUUCUGAUAGACUUUUUAUUAAGUAAAAUUGUAAGCAUUACCUCCAGUUUCAAUGAUAGAAUGGUUACUGGGAACAGAUUGUCUAGGAAGAAAACACAAAUUAGUAAACACAGUCUUACAAAUGAGCCAUCUGGAGAUUUAUUUACAUAAGAAAAGAGGAAGGACUUGGUAUUUUCAUGCUGGGGUUUGUUUCUCUUGCAAGUAGCCACAGGGGUGUAUUUAUCACGAGCACACAUUGAGCUUUUUAGUGAAGAUCACUGAAAGCAUGAAAAAAAAAUGCGCAUUUGGUUGGUUAUUUGGGAAAUGGGAAGGAAGAGAAGGGAGAGAGUAAGAGAGUCACACAUACACAUAUGCACACAAAGUUUUUGAAUGAAUUUUAGCAUAUAAGAUUUCAAAAUAGUUACAAUAUUUCACACCGUGCUUUUGAAAUUUUAUAUUAUUCCCAAAGUGCUAAAUGAGAAACAUUUUUCUAAAACAAUAUCAAAGGUGGAGGCAUUCAGCUAUCACGCAAAUAUAGAGGGGCCACGAAUAAUGCUGAGGGGACCAAAACCUUGACACCAGUUGACCAGCAGUGGGAACAGUGAUCCCUUGACCUCAGAGAGCUCCCUGGGUGUCAGACCAGCUCUGCAGAACCACUUAACCCCUCCUGCACCUUGUCCUUUUAUCCACUAAUACUAAAUGCCAAAAACUAAAAAACCCAAAUUUGUGAUACAGUGAUAUAUGUGCUCUUUCAAUGCAUUAAAAUACAAGAUCUAGCUGUAGGUCUGAUAACUACUAUCAUUUAGAAUUAGC
rnacentral:lncRNA from 10 species